GACGAACGCUGGCGGCGUGCUUAACACAUGCAAGUCGAGCGGUAAGGCCCUUUCGGGGGUACACGAGCGGCGAACGGGUGAGUAACACGUGGGUGACCUGCCCUCAGCUCUGGGAUAAGCCUGGGAAACUGGGUCUAAUACCGGAUAUGACUCCAUGACGCAUGUUGUGGGGUGGAAAGCCUUGUGCGGCUGAGGAUGGGCCCGNGGCCUAUCAGCUUGUUGGUGGGGUGANGGCCUACCAAGGCGACGACGGGUAGCCGGCCUGAGAGGGCGACCGGCCACACUGGACUGAGACACGGCCCAGACUCCUACGGGAGGCAGCAGUGGGGAAUCUUGCGCAAUGGGCGAAAGCCUGACGCAGCGACGCCGCGUGAGGGAUGACGGCCU
rnacentral:rRNA from 1 species